UUUUCGGAAAGAACGUUUGGCCCACUAUCCUUCCCAUCCCACAAGUACAAAGUACAAACAAAUGCAGCGCAGCGGAGCUUCUCAAUGCUUUUUAGGACAUGGUAAUCCUCUCCAUCUAAAUUGAACUUAUAGCUCCAUUUUCUCAAAAUUUUCCAUGAAUCUAACUCAGAAAUCAAUUAAAUCUACAUGUUCAAAUGGAGACUUAGUUAUUAAUUUCAAGAAUCUGCAGCCAAGACUGAAUUUUGCAUCAUUGCCAUCAUCAUCAUCAUCAAAUUCUCUCCAAACUCUAACAGAUUAUAGUGAGUCCACCAAAUCCAUUUCAAACCCUCUUCACAACUUUCUACCUAAAUUCCAAAACCCCCAAAACACAGUUAGUCUAAUAUGUUCAGCUCUAAAGAACAGAAACAAUGACCAUUUAGUCCUCCUUCAAAAAACCAUCCAAAAUAAUGGACUUAUGAGUCAUUUCAGUAACAAUGAAAUCUCAAGGGUUCUUUUAAGAUGUCAAUCUGAUUCAUCUAGUGCUCUUAGUUUCUUUAAUUGGGUUAAAACUGAUUUGGGUUUGAAACCUAACACUCAAAAUUACUGUCUUGUAAUUCAUAUACUUACUUGGUCAAAAAACUUUUCACAAGCAAUGAAAAUUUUGUCUGAAUUGGUUGAUUUAAAGAGAAAUGGAGUGGAAAAUGUGGAUGUUUUUGAUAGUUUGGUGUCAUCUAGUGGUUUAUGUAAUUGGGAUCCUGUUGUGUUUGAUAUGCUAAUUAAGGCUUUUCUUAAAGUGAAUAUGGUGAAAGAUGGUUAUAGAGUUUUUAGAAAGACGGUAAAACAUGGAAUUUACCCGAGCGUUAUUGCUAUAAACUGUCUUUUAACUGGUCUUUCGAAGUUGAAUUAUAGUAAAAAAUGUUGGGAAGUGUAUGGUGAAAUGGAAAGAAUUGGGGUGCAUCCGAAUUCGUGUACGUUUAAUAUAUUAACUCAUGUGUUGUGCAAGGAUGAAGAUGUGAAUAAGGUUAAUGAUUUCUUGGAGAAAAUGGAAGAAGAAGGGUUUCAACCCGAUAUAGUUACGUAUAAUACGUUAGUUAGUAGCUAUUGUAGGAAAGGAAGAAUGAAAGAUGCAGUUUACUUGUAUCAAAUUAUGUAUAUUAGAGGCGUAUCACCGGAUUUGUUCACGUAUACUUCUUUGAUAAAUGGGUUUUGUAAAAAGGGAAAUGUCAAGGAUGCUCAUCAGUUGUUUGUGAGAAUGUCUGACAGAGGAUUAAAACCAGAUGUUAUAUUGUAUAACACUCUUAUUUGUGGUUAUUGCAAAGAGGGGAUGAUGCAAGAGGCACGGUUUUUGUUGCAUGAUAUGAUUGGAGAAGGGAUGUACCCUGAUAAGUUCACUUGUUCGGUUCUUGUACGAGGAUAUCAAAAGCAGGAUAAUCUGGUUUCGGCUGUGAAUUUAGUCACAGAGCUUCAAAGAUUUAGAUUUGUAGUAUCUCGUGAUAUAUACAAUUAUCUAAUUUCUGCUCUUUGUAUGGAGAAUCGACCAUUUGCAGCCAAAGCUCUAAUUGAUCGAGUAUCAUAUGAGCCUGAUAAUAUGGUCUAUAGGGAGUUGAUUGAAUCUUUCUGCAGAUGCAAUUGCCCUGAUGAGGCCUUAAGCUUGAAAGCGGAGAUGGUGUCAAAAGAUUUGAAGCCCGAUAUAGGUACAUAUAGAGCUAUAAUUAAAUGUUUGUGUAAAUCAGGCAGAAGCAUGGAUGCUAACUCCUUGAUGAGAGAAAUGACUGAUUAUGAUGUGCCGCCUGAUAUUGAAGUUUGUAGAGCUUUAAUUAACGGGCAUUGCGGGGAAAACAAUUUCCGUGAGGCACAAUCCCUGUUAAGCUUCUUUGGUCGAGAGUUCAAAAUAUUUGACACGGUUUGUUACAACGCAAUUGUCAGGCUUCUAAGUGCUGAAGGUGAUAUUGUAAAAUUGAUGGAAUUUCAAGAUAAAAUGAGGAAAGUGGGGUUUGCGCCAAAUCAGCUGACAUGCAAGUACGUAAUUGAUGGAUUACAGAAAGCUGUGAGAGCCCACCAAAUCAAUAUCUGAGGUGCAUUAAUGAGUGAAAAUAGAAGAAUCCAUCUGGUCAGACGCGGUAUACUUACAUCCAGCAAGAAGGAAGGGGAACCGGGAAUUAGGAACUUGAGCCUACAAAACUGAAGCCUGAUGAAGAAGUUGUGGUUGUAAAAGCAAAUGAUAAAAUUCAUGUAGGAUUUGCAAAGAAAUCACAGUCUCUAUUCGGUCCUGUCGGAUGGUCAUUCAGAGAACUCUCCAAAUGUAACAUCUUUUUCUUUGGGCAGUUAAGUCUUUUGGUGGCAAUGAUUUUCUCCAUAAGUUGACAUUGCUGCAGUGGAUGUCGAAAGACCUUAGCUUCUCUACUGAAAUGUGCUUGGGUUCACACAUCUCGAGAAUGGGCACGAAGGUUCUUGAUCUCAAUGUUUCAGAAAUCAAGGAUCAAUCAGUUCACGGUGCAGGGUUAUGAAUCUGAAGCUAUCUUACUUACAGAGGGGUUGGCAUUGGUUUCUACUAGAGUUGGACUUAAGAUCCUCGGUACAAGAACGAUCAAGUUUGAAUUAUGUAUUCACUGGUUCUUUGUAGCUGUUUUAGGGUUCCUUCAUCGCUGACCUAAAUUUGGUAAGAAAAGUUUCAUCUGAGUUCAACUCUGCGUAAUUUGCCUCGCUGCCUUUUUACCUUUGUCUUUUCUGAAUUUGACAAAUAUUUUGGAUAGACAAAUGAUAAAAGAAGGUUUAAUCAUUGGACUGUGUGUUAUUUCUGUAUUAUUUUUAAGCUAGUUUAUACAGGACUAGCAUCUACAGUGAUAUGGUUCAUACAGAUACGUGAAUUAUUUCAUAGAAGUCCUGUAAUGUAAUUUCAAUUUAACUAGCUAAAAGUACUCUCAGUGCCCGAGUAUCUGGUCCACACUUUUUUUUUUUUUUGGAUAAGGUAAUAAGCUUUAUUGACAAGUUUGGGCAUAAAAACCGUAUACAAGAGGUAUACCAAAAAGUAGAGAGCUACACUAUCUGGUCCACACUUGUGAAUCCAAUGAGAAGGAAUUCUAAAUUGUCUUUAUUAGCCAGUGUUGUUGUUUGGAACAAAUGAUGUACAAAAAUUAUUGUGAUAAGUAGUAUUUCUGACAUGUCGUCAGCAGAUGCACAAAUUUCAUGAAUUAUAAGUGGAUGGCUAGAGAAGGUGUCCAUGAUCAAAGGUCAGAUCCCUGCUUCCAUUGUAUUGGAAGUCACCUGUAUUUGCCAGUUAAUUGUAGAGACUUCUGUUAAUAUCAAAAGCACCAACAUUUACUGCUAUGUAUUGGUUUUAAUACAAGGGAGGAAAAAAUGAGAAGCUUCUUCAGGUUUUUGUUUUUUGACAUGCAGAUGCACAUGUGGGGCGGGAGUACGCCACUGUUCAAGAGUUUAUACAUUAUUGAAGCUGAUGUAGCUCUCUACUAUAUAUGAUGCUUCUGUCAUCCUUCCACAUCUUUUCUUUUCACCUAUGACAAAGUGGUCUUCUCUUUAUAUAUUUUUUCUUUCUUUGUUUACAUUUUUAUAGAACACAAUGGAAGCAAAGAAUCUAUGUGGAAAUUCUAACUAGUUGGGAGUCUGGCCUAGUUGUUUUUGUUAAACUUAGAUUAGGCCUGGACGGAUAAUUGUAAGACUUCGAGAUCCACAAGCUUUAUAAAACCCCACAUUUGUAUUAAAAGACAAAACAUUACGUCUUGUUACUUACUGAUGUUGGUUGAAAUUGGUUCCUGAUCUAUAUCAGUAUUUGUAUUGGCCACUCCAUCUAGGUUGUGAUUGAAGCAUAGUAGCUUCAUUGAUUUGCAUGGGUAAAUGAUCAAAAUUGCCAUCCUUCCUUUCA